GAAAAAUUCACUGCAGUCUAUGAGCCCAAAACCCCAAUGGGAUUCAAAGUGGGCCUGGAGACAGCAGAGGAUCAGUGAACUAAGUUUAAAGAACAAAAAUUGAAUAGAAAGCAGGAACAUUUUUCUGGGAAGAAAGUAAUGCAUUGAACAAUUCCAUGGAAUUAAAUUCAAGAUCUGAUUGUUAUGGAAGAUAUCACAAGAAUCUACAAGAUUUUCAGGCAAACAACUCGAGCCAUUGACACAGGGAUCCUGUACUUCAGUACAGUACUAAAUGCCUGGUGCCAGUAAUGCUGCUGCUUCGGAAGGAAAG